rnacentral:lncRNA from 1 species
CUACCUCCAAAUUCCAACUCCAUCCCCAAAUAACAUAAUUCAUCCUCCACCUUCAUCGAACCAAUAUCAAUUUCACAAUGAACAAAAUCAAAUUGUAUUUGGUGUUUAAACGGGUAAAACCAAAUUUUAUAAAAAAAAUAUAUAAAAUUUUGUAGCAAGGAUGUUUUCCGAUGGAUUCUCGUUGGAAAAGUCAAAUUCAUCGUCAACUUUCUCAUCUCAGUCUGUUAAUUAUUAAUCCAUCCUAAAAUGGAGUUUGCUACCAUAUUAGUUUUUUCUUUAAAUUAUAGCUGAAAAACAAAUGAAAAAAGUAUGAAAAUGUGUUGGUCAUUACCAUUUAAAAUACAGAGGCCAACAAUCAAAUGACCAUUUUUUGAAACAAUAAUGGCCAUUAUAGCUGAGAAUUUUUUAUUUUAUUUUUUAAGAAAAGACGAUGGAUUACAGAUGAAGAACAAUGUUAGAAGAAAUUAACUGUUAUGAUAAUUUUGUUGGUGGGAUAAAGUUUAUGGUGGUGAAUAUGGUGUAAUGGAGGUAAUGAAGAUUUUGGACAUUAACAAUGGAGGUUUUAGACAUUGAAGAAGAAGGAAAAAAAAUUAAAUUAAAAACAAAAAAGAAAAAAUUAUGAAAAUAAUAAAUUUAUUAUUUUUUCGAAUUAUGCUGACUUGGCAGCGCGUGUAAACACCAUACCACAUGCAAGUUGUGUAAUGCCUGACAGAGUGUAAAAAGUAUCACUUUUUUAUAGUUAAGGUGUGUAAUAGGUCACUUAUAUAGUUUAAGUGUGGAUUUGACUUUUCGACUAUAGUUUGAGGUGGAAACAAUGUCUUUUCCCAACAGAUAACUCCCCAUUUUUGGCAAUUGGUUGGUGCAACGUCAAGCAACCUGAAAUACAUAAGGGAGGAUAAGAUAGCCUACAAGAAAAUUAAUUUUGUAACUUAAGACAUCAAGUUUAAUUUAGAAAUCAUUCAUAGCAGGGCAUACACAGGAAAGAAAGAAAUUUAAAAGAAAAUAAUACUCAGCUGCAUAUGAGGAUACCUAUGCUGCAUAUUCCAUGUCACAAAGUUUCAGUGAAUCUGUUGUUGCUAUAUAUAUCAAUUGAUGGCAAAUGAUAUUCAUUGACUUAGGAACUUAAGAGUUACUCUAAAACGUUGGGAGAGGGAAACCUUUUUGGCUGUACAAAUAAAUUUAAUACAAAUUAAUAUGGAUAAUUAUAGACUUAGAUUAAUUUAAUUAAUGAAUGAAAAAGAGAAAAAGAGAAAAAUUGAAAAAAAUAAUGAAAAAAUCAAAAAAUGGAAAAAGCAUACCACAUCAGGAUGUUUAUAACUCUUCUUUUUAUAUAUAUAUAUAUAUAUAUAUAUAUAUAUACUUUUGAUUCUUAUAAUUUUAAACAAAUACGUGUAUUAUGACAAAAACAUAUAUACCCUUUAAAUCUUGUAAUACUAAACACGCAUGUUAUAUCAUUUCUACAAGUACACGUCAUUAAAGCUAUAAGAAAAGUUAGAACAAGAAACUUACAAAGGGUUAGGUGAUGAGUGGUAAAUUUACCGCUCAUUUACCUCCAAAUGCAACUUACAAAGGGUUAGGUGAUGUGUGGUAAAUUUACCGCUCAUUUACCUCCAAAUGCGUACACACUACUAUGAUUUAAUGGUAUGAAUGAGACAACUUUGGCAUUUGAAUGCACUAAUUCUCAUAUUUUGCAGGUAUACAGGUGAUGAAAAGAAAAGAAGUGAAAUAGGCUAAAAAGAGAUAAAAAAAGGGAAGAGAAGUGCAAAAGCUGGAAAAGCAGGAGCAGGAUCUGACCUCAGUUACUGUGAUCGCGGUCUGAGGGCCAUGAUCAUAGACAUUCAAGAUUAGUCAGAGCCAACGAUUGUGAAGGAUUCACCACAAUCGCGGGAGUCGCGAUCGUGAUCAAGAUGGGGCAAUCGCGGCAGCGGGGGUUUAUGCCAAAGGGCAGAUUUGUAAUUUCAUAAAAUUGACCCCAAAUCCCAUAUAGAGCAAAAAUCCUUUCAUUUUUGGGCAUCUUCCCAACUAAAAUUGAGCUUGGAGAAAUUUGAAACCCUGUCUAAUUGGGAAACUUAUUGUGGCAAAUUUCUCACGCGAUUUUGAUUGUAAUUGAAGUUGGCUAUUGAAGAAUACUCUUGUUUGCUUCUUCAAUGGAAGCAUUGAAUGAUCAUUUUGGCAUAAUUCUUUUCCCUAACUUCAUGAGUAGCUAAACAUUUAUCUUGGGAUUAUAUUGAAAUCGGGUGCAAAUAUGUGUGGGUUGUGAUUUAUUAGUGUAGUUUCUUAGUUAUUGAUGAUGGGUUUCACUAAUGCUUGCUUUGAGUUGGGAUUUGUGAGUGAAAACUUCAAAUUCCCAAUACAUCAUCCUUGAAAGAGGGACAUGAGUAUACUUUUGGAUCUUAUAUCAUCCUUGAAAGAGGGAUAUGGGUGACAAAGCAUUAGUGAACAAUAGUUAGAUAUAGCUUAUUUCAUUUUCAUUAUCUUACAAAUAAAGGUGGAUUGAGAAUUAACUAGGUCUUGGGCAUCUUUCUAGAAAUAGGGAUGCCCAAUUGAGGUGUUGGGUGUAUUUUCUUGCCACAUCCAUGAGGUAUCCGAAAAGGUCCUUGGGUGUUAAUCUUGAGGUUUUGUUGACAAAUUAGCAUCAAGAGCCCCUAACCUAGCCUACUCAUGUAGUUGUUAACUAGAAUUUGCAUUCCAUUCUCAUGAAACAAUGCAUUAUUUGCCCCUAGGAAGACAUAAUCCCAAGACUUGUCUCAUAUUGAAAUCUUAUCCACAUUUGUUGCCUUGAAUUGGUAGUUUGAUUAGAUUUUGGUAAAAUAAUUUUCCAAACCAGCCCCCCUCCCAAUUUUAAAUCAUGUAUUUCAUUUUGUUUACAUUACGGGUAUCUCUUUAGCAGCUAUUAACACCCAUAGGAUUUGAAGACUAAUUUCACUCCUCGAGGAUUCGACCCCAACUCACAUUGGGUUAAUAUACUUGACAACGCUUGUCUUGCUCAUAUAUAUGUAAUUGUAUAUGGUUAUAUACAUUGGUUCGACUUGGUUUUGAAUUGAUGGCAUUACUUUAUCUUUAUCCCUGAGUACAUGCUAGUGUUCACCACUAACUAUCUCCAAACGCUGCAUCCCCAUGCGAUGUAGGCGCCGUAGCAAUUUCUACUUUUCCUGUGCAAGUUUAGGUGGAUAAGCCUGGUUCGUUGGUCUUUGGUAGUGAAGUGGUGAGCUUCCAUUCUUCCGAAAGACAUCCAUUUCAUCAGUUUCUUUCCAUAAUUUAGAAAUGAAAAGUUCACAUUAACAUUACAUUGUGAUUGUGAUUGUCAGAGUCGAGGGGCAUGCCCCAACUUUUUAUUGGUACUCAUUUGGUAGAGGCUUUGUUUUGACUACUGUGGACAUGGGUGGUAUGAUUUGGUUUGGUUUGCUUUGGUUGGUUUUGGUUAUAGACUAUUAUAAUGUCUUGAAGAUUGAAUUCUCUUAUCUUUUUAUGUUCGGAAUUCAUCCGACAGGGGGUGUAAGGUGUAGACGGUGGUUUGGGUAUUUGGGGGUGGUCUCCGGUAAUUGUUGGACUUGAGAUACCCAUUACGGUCAGCCCCUGGUUCGGGUUAUGACCCCCAAGACUUGUCUCAUAUUGAAAUCUUGUCCACAUUUGUUAUCUUGAAUUGUUAGUUUGAUUAUAUUUUGGUAAAAUAACUUUCCAAACCAACCCCCCCUCAUUUUAAUAUAUGUAUUUCAAUUUCUUUACAUUAUGGGUAUCUCUUUAGUAGCUAUUAACACCCUAGGAUUUGAAAACUAAUUUCAUUCCUCGACGAUUCGACCCCAACUCACGUUGGUUAAUAUACUUGACAACGAUCGUCUUGCCCAUAAAUCAUAAAGUAUGUUGAACGUUAUCAAUAGGGUUGCUGCCCUUGUGAAAGAACGUCAACUCAAUGACUCUCUUUUCUCCCAUCCUUAACUUUUGACCUAAUUCUCACAAUGACCAAUCAACCACCUCAGGCAACCGGCCUACCAGAUCCAAUGGUUAGCCAGUCUGAGCACAGUGUUCCAUCUUCUGAGGCUACAAGGGUAAGCCAGUUUAUGAGGUUGAGUCCUUCAAGUUUUACUGAUGUUAAGUUUAAGGAGCACCCUCAAGGUUUUAUUGAUGAGAUGGAGAAGAUCUCCUGAAUUAUGCAUGCUUCGGAUGUUGAGGGUGUGGAGUUCACUACUUAUCAAUUGUAGGAUGUAGCGUACCAAUGGUAUAAGGAAUGAGAGCAGUCUAGGGAAGAUAAUAUUGACUCUGCACUGUGGGAUGAUUUCUUUAGUGCCUUUUUGGACUGCUUCUUUCCUUAGGAGUUAAGAGAGGCGAAAGUGGAGGAGUUUGUCAAUCUGAAGAAAGGUAGGAUGUCGAUCAAGGAGUAUGCCUUGAAAUUCCAUCAGUUGUCCAGGUAUGCUUCUUAGUUGAUGUCUAACAUGAGGGCUAGAAUGCAGAAAUUUACUUCUAGGCUAUCUCGUGAGUUGAUUUUAGAGAGUAAGUAUGCCUUGUUGAACAAGGUUAUGGACAUCUCUAGAUUGGUUGUGUAUAUGCAGGAGGUUGAGGAAGAAAAGAAGAAGCAGACGGAGAUAGGAGAGAGGUAGAGUAAGAAAUUUAGAUUUUUUUAUCAGGGUAAAGGCCAACAACAAAGCGGUAGAGAUAGAUAAAAGUGGUUUAAGUAGAAGUAAGGGAGCUCUGGUUCCUACUCUAUGGUUAGUGCUCCUUAUCUGAAACCUUCGGGUGAUCAUCGUUUUCAGAGUGGCAAUAGUUCCAGGGAAAGGGUGCCUAAUCUCAAAUUGGUGGGCCUCAGUCAGCUCCAUCCCAUCCUCCUUGUAGAUUCUAUGAGCGGUUUCAUCGUGGAUUUUGUGAUGAAAGAAAGAAUAAGUGUUUUAGAUGCGACCAACUUGGCCAUAUAUUCAGAGAAACUACCCUACAGGUGAUGUUGCUACGGGGGAAAAUAAGGCUCCUGUUGCCUCUUUAUCAGCUCCUGCACCAAAAGGUAUUGCUUCUGCUUCUGGUACCGGUACUGGCCGAAAUUACUUGUACGUUUUUACUUCUCUCUAGGACUCUGAGGGAUCUCUCGAUGUCUUUACUGGUAUGUUGAAACUCUUUUCCCAAUAUUUGUAUUGUUUACUUGAUCCGAGGUCCACUCUUUCUUAUGUGACCCCAUUCGUGGUUGUGCAUUUUAAUUUUAGUCCUAAGUGUAUUCCUUAUCCCUUUUAUGUAUCUACCCCGAUGGGUGACUCUGUGGUUACUAGAAGAGCCUAUAGGUGAUGUGUUAUAUAUGCUGGUGGUAGAGAAACUCUGGUAGAUUUGAUUGAGUUAGAAAUGGUUGAUUUUGAUGUCAUAUUAGGGAUUGAUUGGUUGCAUUCGUGCUAUGCCUUAUUAGAUUGUUGAACCCGUAAGGUCAUGUUUAGAUUCCCUAAUGAGCUGGUCGUUGAAUGGGAAGAGGAUUCUUUGGUGCCUAAUAGGAGGUUCAUAUCAUAUCUUAGAGCUCGAAAGUUGAGUUCAAAAGGGUGUCUUUAUCAUUUGAUCCGAGUUAAAGAUUCUAACUUGGAGGGUCCUUCUUUAGAAUCUGUUCCCGUGGUAAAUGAAUUUUCCAAGGUUUUUCCUGAUGAUCUUCCUGGUGUCCCUCCCAAUAGAGAAAUUGAUUUUGGGAUUAAUUUUGUUCCAGACAUUUGCCCUUUUAUCCCUCCUUAUAAAAUGGCUUCGGCUGAGUUGAAGCUGCUUAAGGAGUAGUUGAACGACCUCCUAGAUAAAGAUUUCAUCUGUCCUAGUAUGUCUCCAUGGGGUGCGCCUGUUUUGUUCAUGCACAAGAAGGAUGGUUCCCUGGGGAUAUGUAUUGAUUACCGCCAGUUGAAUAAGGUGUCGAUGAAGAAUAAGUAUCCUCUCCCUCGGAUUGAUGAUUUAUUUUAUCUGCUCCAGGGUGCUAGAUGUUUCUCUAAGAUUGAUCUUAGGUCGGGUUAUCAUCACCUAAAGAUUAGGGAAGUGGAUAUCCUCAAAACUACCUUCGGAACCCGAUAUGGUCAUUAUGAGUUUUUAGUCAUGUCUUUUGGGUUGACCAAUGCCCCGACGACAUUCAUGGACCUGAUGAAUAGGGUUUUCCGCCAGUUCUUGGAUUUGUUCGUUAUUGUAUUCAUAGAUGAUAUUCUGGUGUACUCUAAGAGAGGCGGAUCAUGCUGAUCACCUCCGCAUCGUGUUACAAAUCCCGAAAGAUCAGCAGUUGUAUGCCAAAUUUUCUAAAUGAGAGUUCUGGUUGAAAGUUGUUACUUUUCUGGGUCAUGUUAUUUCUAGAAAAAAGAUCAUGAUAGAUCCACAGAAAGUGGAAGUGGUUUAGAAAUGGCCUAGACCCAUGACUCCAAGUCGAUAUUCGGAGCUUCUUGGGUUAAGUGGGUUACUAAAGGAGAUUUGUAGAGAGUUUCUCAACUAUAGCUACCUCGUUGACUAAGUUUACCUAAAAGAUGGUGAUAUUCUUGUGGUCUGAGGCUUGUGAAGGAAGUUUUUGAGAAGUUGAAAGAUAAGUUGACUUCAACUCCAGUUUUGACCCUGCCUGAGGUUAAAGAUGGAUUCGUGAUUUAUUGUAAUGCUUCCUGUAUGGGACUUAGGUAUGUGUUGAUGCAACAUGGUAGGCAGUUAACGAUUUAUGAGAAGAACUACCCAACUCAUGAUUUGGAGUUGUUAGAUAUGGUAUUCGCAUUGAAGAUCUGGCGCACUAUCUCUAUAGAGUUCAUGUGGACAUCCUUUCUGAUCAUAAGAGUCUGCAACAUGUAUUCACAUAGAAAGAUCUUAAUAUCAGGCAGGCAAAUGGGUAAAGCUACAACAUGAGUCUCCAUUACUACCCAGGUAAAGCUAACAUAGUUAAUGAUGCUCUUAGAAGGUGAUCUAUGGAAAGUCUAGCUCAUGUAGAUGAGGAUAAACGGGAAUUGGUAAAGUAUAUUCAUCGUUUGGCUAACCUUGGGGUUCGUCUCUUGGAAUCUGAGGAUGGUGGUGUGUUUGUGCAUCAAGUGGCGCAGUUAUCUCUUGCUGAUGAGAUAAAGGAGAAGCAGGUAUUGUAUCCUGUCUCAAUGAAGAUUAAGGGAGAUAUGGGUCAGCAAAAGGUUGUAGCUUUUGUGAUUGGUAGCGAUCGUAUCUUGAGGUACCUAGGCAAACUGUGUUUCCGACAUAGAUGGAUUGCGAGAGAUGAUCUUGGCUGAGGCUCAUGGGUCGUGUUAUACUAUUCAUCUUAUUUCGAUGAAGAUGUAUCAUGAUCUUAAGGAGAUUUAUUGAUAGAAUAAUAUGAAUCGAGAUGUGGCCAAUUUUAUGGCUAAAUGCAUGGUGUGUCAACAAGUGACGGUUGAGCACUUGAGGCCUGAUGGGUUGUCUCAGGAGAUUGAGUUGCCUAUAUGAAAUAAGGGAGAUAAUAAUAUGGACUUUGUUACCAGCCUUCCUCAGUCUCAAAAUCAGUUUGAUUCAAUUUGGAUUAUCGUGGAUAGGAUACUAAGUCUAAUCACUUCUUGCCAGUGAGGACUAAUUAUUUAGCUGAGGAUUAUGCCAAGUUGUUUCUUGGGGAGAUAGUGAAGUUGCAUGGUGCUCUGAUUUCUAUUAUUUCGGAUCGUGGUAAUCACUUCUCAUCUCACUAUUGGCGAUCGUUUCAGAGAGGUUUGCGAACUAAGGUGAGCCUCAGUACUGCAUUUCACCCACAAACAAAUAGGCAAGCGGAAAUGACAGUUCAGGUCUUGAAAGAUAUACUUCGGACUUGUAUGAUUGACUAUGGUAGUAGUUAGGUCGAUCAUUUGCCUCUCAUAGAGUUUGCGUAUAAUAAUAAUUAUCACUCUAGCAUUGGUAUGGCUCAUUUUGAGCAUUGUAUGAUAUAAGGGUGUCAAACGGGUCGGGUUGACCCGGCCCACUUAAUAAACCCAGCCCGAUCAGCCCCUGGCCUGUAGGGUAUCGGGUACUGGGCUGGAUUAAUUUUUUUUGGGCCCAAUUAACCCAGCCCGGACCAAAUCCGAUCCAGGCCCACCGAUUAAUCGGCCCAACCCGACCCAGCUAGUUUUUUUUUAAAAUAGAUUUUAAUUAAAAAUGGUCGUUGGGCCAUUAUAGCUGUUGGGCCCAACGGUCAUAUAGCCGUUAGGAGCCCAAAACGGCUAUAAUGGCCUUUUUAUUAAAAAAAAAUAUCAAUUAAAUUAUUUCUUUAAACCCAAAAAAUUUUCUAGAAAUACCCUACACUUUCAAAUCAUUUUCCACACAAUUUUUCAUUCUCUCAAAUCUCAAUCUCUCUCAAAUCACAAUUCUCGAUUCUCAAAUAUUCUAUAUAUUUUCUAAAGUGCUCACUUUAAUUUUUUAAUUUUGCGAUUACAAAGUACGAAUGAAAGUUUCUAAAGUCGCAACCUUCGGAUACUUCUAAAAUUUGGUAUUGUCGUUCCAUCUCUAACAUUUAAUUUUUAAUUGGUGUACUAAUUAUUGAAUAUUUAAUUUUAUUUUAUUUGUAUAUUUUAAUUUUUUUAUUUAAAUUUAUAUUAUGGAUUAAUUAAGAAACCUCGCCACUAAAGGUGUUAAAAUUUUUUGUCCCAGAAGUGGUAGUGGUACUUCAAGUAGUAGAUAUACCCGUGUACCUCUGCCUCCGAUACCGCUUAGUCAACCUUUUGAGGAAGAAAUAGGUGUAGGUGCUCACGAUAUGAAUUAUGUAGAAGCUCAAAAAAAUUAUUGUAUAAAAGAAAAUAAAGCAGAUGCGAUUAAUUUAGAUGAAGAUGAUGAAAAUAUUGGUGAGACACCCACAGUAGAAAAUGCUAACGUUAGAUCUAAAUCGGUUAAUCUCCCUCCUCGUCCUCUUCAUGCCGCAAGAGCUCGUAAAACAACUAAUAUUGGAUGACAACUUUUUGAACGUAUAUCAGAUAUUGAGGUGCAAUGCAAUAUUUGUUAACAAAUAUAUAAGCAUAAAAGAGGAGGCAAGCAAGGGGGUACGGGUACGUUAAUGUGACAUAUAAAUGAUAAUCACGAUAGAGAGUUAAAAAUUGCACAAAGUGAUGCAGAUGUUGAUGGACCAACACAAACUAGAAUGGACCCAACAAUUGAUCAAGUAAUGAAGAAGUAUAAUAAAUCGAGGGACCGGAAAGAAAUAGCAAAAAUGAUAAUUGUGGGUUGUUUGCUUUUUAGUUUUCCUUCAUCUGAUAUCUUUAUUCACUAUAUUCAAGCAAUUUAUAAUCUUAUGUUUAAUGGUAUUCCUAGAAGUACUUGUAGAGCCAAUAUUUUUAGACUUCAUUCACAAUAUUAUUUUUAUUUAUCAACAUUGUUAAAAAAUAUUCAAUAUAGAAUAUCCCUAACUUCUGACCUUGGUCGUGCUGUAAAUAAAAAUGAUUAUUUAACCAUUACUUGUCACUGAAUAGAGAGUAAUUUUGUUAUGCAAAAACGUAUUCUUGCUUUUUAUAUGAUGAAGAUCGUAAACAUACUAGAGAUUUUAUUGUUGAUUCGAUUGCUAAAGUAGCAGAAUUUUACGGUAUUGAAAAUAAAAUCUUAUGUAUUACUUUUGAUAAUGCUUCUAACAACAAUAUUGCUAUAACAAAAUUAAAAUCUAAGCUAUCUCCGUCGUUACCUAAAAUUUUUCAUGUUAAGUAUGCUUGUCAUAUAUAUAAUUUAAUUGUAAGAGAUGAUCUUGAGAUUUUUGAGCUUUAUAUUGAAAAAAUUUGGCUUGCUGUUGAUUUUAUCCAAGGAAAUAAUUGUAGAAAAAGAAUUAGACUUUAAACUCAUAUGUGAACAAAAUAGACUUACACCGAUAAUGAUGCCCGAAGAAUGUGAUACUAGAUGGAAUGCUACGCAUGAUUUUUUAAAAACUUGUUAUAAAUAUAGAGUUCCUAUUACACUAUCUUUUAACCAACAUUGUGGUUCGUUUGCUGAUUUUGCCCACUACAUGCUACAUGAUUAUGACUGGGUUGUAAUUAAUGAUCUUGUUAAGUUUUUGGAAAAAAUUUAUAUAGCUACGAUUGAAUUUUUCGGUGCUUAUUAUCCUACAAUUUGUAAUAUUUUGGCAUAUAUAGCCGAUAUUUCUGGUUUGCUCAAAGAAUAUAAAAAUAAAGAAGGUUACAAAGAAACUGUUGGUGUCAUGUUUACUAAAUUUAAAAAAUAUUUUUUUUCUGAUUUCCCCUAUUUACUUGGUUGGCAUUAUGCUGAAUUCGUGCAUGAAAUAUACUACUAUGUACCACUUUAGUACUCUUAUUUAUGCUAACUUAGAGAUAAAUACUAACCAUGAUUCUGAUGAUGAAGAACAAGAACCUGAUUUGUGGACGGCUAUGGCCGAUGCGAACGCUUACAUAGAUAAAUUAUAUAACCACUAUGUUAAUUUAGUUGAUUUAGCUGUGCCGACAAAUAUCACUUCAACUGUCGCUCCUCAUCCUCCCGAAGAGUUAUCAUCUUCUAAAAGGCCGGCACAUAGUGAUUUUCCUGAUUACUUUUAUGAUUUACCUUGUUGGAACAGUGUUGAGGCGGGAGCUUACACAACAACUUAUCGAAAAGAGCUGAAGUAUUAUCUCCGAACGUCGUUAGAGGAUCGCAGACGACGGAUCAACGCGUUGGAUUGGAGGAGAAAUAAUGAAGCACGAUAUCUUGUGCUUUCAUGAUUAGCUAGAGAUAUCUCGAAUGUUCCAAUGUCAACCGUUGCAUCGGAGAGUGCUUUUAGUCAGGGAUGACAACAGCUUAGAGACAACCGACAUUCAUUGGGAAGCAAUGCAAUGAAUGUUCUAGUUUGCCUUAGAGAUUAGAUUAGAGCGGAACGAAGAAAUCAAGGAAUGAAAGCGGAACCGAACAACGAGCAGAGACUUGAAGAAAUUAUGACUUCACAGGAGAACUCAGUAGAAUCAAGUUCAUUGCAUGGUUUUGCCCCCAUUGACUUUGACCAUCUUAUGCAAUUUCCUGUUAAUAUUAACGUGAAUGAAUCGAAAAAAAUGAUGCAAAAUUUGUAGAUUUUUCAUCCAUAUAAAUUAUAAAUCUUGGGUCAUUUUACAAUCAAUAAAAUUCAAUAUUCAUUCACUCCUUAGUCCUUACUUUGUAAUUUUUUCCAUUUAAUGAUUUAAAUUGAAUUUUUAGUUAAAAUUAAAUACUUAGUUUUAAUAUAUUACUAAUUUACUAUAAAGUAUUAUUAAUUUAUUAUAUUAAGUAGCAUAUGUUUUAUUUAAAGAAGUACAUAUAGAGUCUAUAUAUACUUAUAUAUUGAAUGAUACGUAUAUAUGUGUAUAUAUUUUCUAAAGUAAUAUAUAUUUAACGUAUACAUGUGUAUAUGUGUAUUGCACCUAGCUUGAGGGCUUAUGUGUGCCUCAAGUGAGCCUUCAACAAUAUUGUUAUUGAUUGUGAAAUGCUGAAGAAAAAUGUGUUGAGGCUUUUCUGAUUUUUUGGAAAAUUUCCUUUCUAGUUAAAUAAAAAGUUUCUACAGUUACUUGCAUCUUAACUGGUAUUUGAUAUCCUCAUUCUUCGUGUAUGGUGAUAUUUUUGCAUCUAACAGAACCAUUGUUUUGGACCAUGGCAAUCCAUCUAUGAAGAGUCAGGCGAAAGCAAUGGCUGCAGCUGAAGCUAAUCCGUGGAGGAUGGGUUUCAAGGAAAAGAAAGAGCAGCCUUUUAAAAAACGGAAGCCAGAGCCACCUCCAGGUAAUUUCAGAACUGAAGUCUAGAGGUUUCUUAUGUUUUCUGCUUGUAGUCCAGUCAGUGUUAUUUCAUGUCCAGGUGUUGGAAAGAGUAUAACUUCAUUAUUUUAGUUGUUUAUGUUUCCUGUCUUUUCAUUUAACUUAAUGGAUUGCAGGGGGAUCUUACGGAGCUUCUUACAAAUCUGGCCCGUCCGCAGCAACUCAAUCAAAGGGAAAGCCUUCUGCUUCACCUUUAUCUUCUCCACCUGAAUCAUCUGGCGCUCCAACAUCUCCAUUUGGCAAUGUCAAUCUCUUGAAUGUGAUACCCACUCAAGCAAUGACUAAGUCUACUAGUUCCAACAAAGAAAUUCCUAGCAAGGCGACAUCAUGUUCUUCACAGGAUAAAGUAAGGCGCAACGUCUAAUGAUCUGCGUAGCAUGUUGAUAUCCUUACUUAUGGAGAACCAGUCCAAGGAUAUUAGUCUUAAGGUAAGUGUGAACAGUAAUUGGACCUUUCUUAAUUUAGCUAGCGAUGUGCUGUAAGAGGUGGAAGUGUAAGUUCAGAGCAAAGAUGUCCUUUUCCCUUUGGUUUAUUGCUCUUUUCUUGACAUGGAGUACUUGGUAUAUUCUAAAGUAUAUCUCGAUACUGCAUCAGAUUCAUCCCUUUUCCCCUUUUAAUAUCUUGUGGGUUCUUAGGCAGUGGAGAAAGCUGUUGGAGACACGUUCCCAAACUCAGCCAAGCAAAUUGAGCCCAUUAUGAAAAAGGUAAAUGGUACAUGCUGUUUCUAUAAUUCUGGUAAGUGUCCGUAACACAAUAGUUAUAACACUCCAUACAUUGAUUUCUGGGGGCAGAUUGCUGUAUACCAAGCUCCAGGAAGAUACUUCUUGAAACCGGAAGUGGAUACUGAAAGCUUCCUGAAAACUGCCCCUGAAAGUGGAAGGUACAAAAGUUUCUCCAGGCUGUUUGUUAUUUUGUUUUUGCCUUUUCUCUUUGAAUCCAAAUUGUAUCCGUCUUGGAGAGACAAAUCUGAUCUGCAUUUAGCACGAAUAGUCACAUUGAAGUCUCCCUAAGUACACUUGUAGGAGCAAAGAAACUUUCGACCGGAGAAAAACAUAGAAAACGUUUGUGAUACUAUUAAGCAAAAAUACCAUGACAUUUUCCCUCCAUUUUGAGCUGGAACAAUCUAGGAGCAUAUACAUGUUUUUGAUGUUCCAAAGGUUAAAAUAUAUUUUUGAAUUCGUCCUUUCUUUCGAUUUCCAAUUUAAAUGGUAUGAUGCUAACAUACAGAGAUCAUUUCUGUAUGUAUUUUCUUGGCCAUUCCCCCUUAUGGGGGGUGGGGGAGAGUAUUUCUGAUCAAGAGAUUUUUUUUUUGGUCUUCUAUAUCUGUUUCAUUUUCUUGAGCCGGGGAUCUAUCGGAAACAGCCUCUCUACCUCGUUAGAGGUAGUGGUAUGGACUGCGUACACUCUACCCUCCCCAGACCCCACUAUGUGGGAAUAUACUGGGUUUGUUGUUGUUGUUGUAUACAUGUGUAUAUGUUUUAUAAAUUUGUAUAUAACUAUAUAUAUAGUGUGUGUAUAUAUUGUAGUAUAUUUUAUUUAAAGUAGUAUGUAUUUAUUGAAUGGUACGUAUAUAUGUGUAUAUAUCUUCUAUGAACGUGUGUAUAUAUUGUAGUAUAUUUUUUUUAAGUAGAAUGCAUAUAUUGAAUGGUACGUAUAUAUGUGUAUAUAUCUUCUAUAGACGUAUAUAUUUAACGUAUACAUGUGUAUAUAUUUUAUAGAUUAGUAUAUAACUAUAUAUAUAAUGUGUAUAUAUUGUAGUAUAUUUAUUUAAAGUAGAAUGUAAGUAGAAUGUAUAUAUUGAAAUGGUACGUAUAUAUGUGUAUAUAUCUUCUAUGGACGUAUAUAUUUAACGCAUAUAUGUGUAUAUGUUUUAUAAAUUAGUAUAUAACUAUAUAUAUAGUGUGUGUAUAUAUUGUAGUAUAUUUUAUUUAAAGUAGUAUGUCUAUAUUGAAUGGUACGUAUAUAUGUGUAUACAUCUUCUAUAGACGUAUAUAAUUAAUGUGUACAUGUGUAUACAUAUACACUAUAUAUUUUAUAUGUGUACAUAUAUAUUGAAUGGUGUGUAUAUAUGUGUAUAUUUUCUAAAGUAGUAUAUAUUUAACGUAUACAAGUGUAUAUGUUUUAUAAAUUAGUAUAUAACUAUAUAUAUAGUGUGUGUAUAUAUUGUAGUAUAUUUUAUUUAAAGUAGUAUGUAUAUAUUGAAUGGUACGUAUAUAUGUGUAUAUAUCUUCUAUGGUACAUAUAUAUUACAUGUGUAAUUGUGUAUAUGUAUUAUAUGUAUAUAUCUUUUAAAUAGUAAUGUAGUAUAUACUAUACAUAUAGUAUAUAUCUAUUGUUUAACGUAUUGAAAAUGUAUAUAGAUGGGUAUAUAUAGUGUUUAUUGGAGAAAAAACUUUUAUUUUUUGGUUUUCGACCGGAUUUUUAAUCGAUUUUGAUCGGGUUUAGGUGGGUUGGACUGGGUUGGGUUAAGUGGGCCGAUUCAGGGUUGUUUUAAAAUUUUUUACUGUUGGGCCCAGAAUCGGACCAGCCCGUUUAACUAGGCUCGAAUCCGAACCGGCCCACAAAUCGAAUAAAAUUCACGGGCCGGUUUCGAGUUGACCCGGCUCGGCCCACUUAACACCCUUAGUAUGACAGGAAGUGUCAUUCUCUUGUUGGAUGGUAUGAAGUUGGUGAAAAUGAGUUGUUUGGUCCUGACUUAGUUUACCAGCCAUGGAGAAAGUGAAGAUGAUUCUGGAUAAACCGCUCAAAGUCGCCAAAAGUCCUAUGCAGAUGUGAGGCGUAGGGAGUUAGAGUUUGAGUUUAGUGAUUGGGUGUUCUUAAAGGUGUCUCCUAUGAAGGGGUGAUGCGAUUUAGUAAAAAAGGAAAGCUUAGUCCUCAUUAUGUUGGUCCGUACUUGGUUUUGAAGAGGGUUGGUAGUGUUGUGUAUGAGUUAGAGUUGCCUUCUAGUUGAGCUCUUCAUUCAUCCGGUAUUUCAUUUCUCGAUAUUAAGAAGGUGCGUGGGUGAUCCUUUGUCGAUUGUCCCUUUGGAGGGGUUGGGUAUUUUGGACUCCUUGUCUUAUGAGAAAGUCCAAUUGAAAUCUUGGAUCGACAAGUUCAUUGGUUGCGGACGAAGGAUGUGGUUUCAGUAAAGGUUCUUUAGAGGAACCACAAAGUUGAAGAGGCCACUUGGGAAGCUGAAGAGGACAUGAAGUCCAAGUAUCAGUUCUUGUUUCCCAUUCCGAAAAUCGUGCCCAAGGAAUAUGUUAUUCUUACCAUCUUUAUUUUCUAACUUUGUUAAAAGAAAGGGUGAUUUCCUUGGCAUCUUCGUUUUCUAACUUGGUUAAAGGUAAAAGUAAAGGUCUAUGGAGUCCAAUCGUGCUUAUGUUGCCUUGACCCAUCAUUCGAAGAUGAAUGAUCCAAGUUAGGGAGAAUGUAACGCCCCAAAUUUUUAGCCCUUGAAAAAUUCUUGUGCUUAGGGCUCACUCUCUUGGUCACGACUCGUGGUGAUAAGUUGUGAGAUGUGGUUACGGGUCAUAGGACCCUGGUCAUAACCAAAUUCAAAACUUAGUGGCAAAUUUCUGCUCUGAGUAUAAGUGGCUUACUAUGAGACGUGAGGAUAUGUUACGAGUUGUAGGUUCAAAUCAUAUGAUGUCCAGUGUUUAAUUAAUUUGGGUUUUGCGUAGCUUAUGACUAGACCUUACGAGUCGUAAGAUCUCAUUAUGAGUGGGUUGGCAGAGUCGUAAGGUAGGCAGUUUAUGGGGGCCCUAAUCACUAUUUUGGUUAAGGUAUGGUUACGAGUCAAGGGGUUGACUCAUAACUAAAGGCGACUUUUUUCAUCUUUUAAGUUGAGGACAUUCUAGACAUUUCCCCUCUUUCCCAACUUAAAACCCACGUCUUAUAACUUCUUUAGGACAUUAUUAGCUAUCAUAAACACAUCAAAUAAUCUCUUAGAAUACUCCUAAAUCCUCAAGGGUCAAGAACACUUAGGGUUUUCAUGAAGCUAUUCAGUUGGGACUUUCAAGGAUAAUUUCUCUACGUACUUCUUGGUGAUUAAGGCAUGUUACUCUUCCCUCAUUGUUAUUUUAUUAAAAAGCACAUGUUUUAAGGUAUAACUUUUAUGGUAUUGUUAUGGUUUUGAAACAAAGAUUGGGGGGUUUUGAAUGCUUGUGGUUGAAUGAUGUUUUCCUAUGGUUUAAUUGUGAUUAUUCACGCUUUAAAUAUGGUUUUGAACAUGUGGGUGCAUGGGUAUUGUGAAUGAACUUAUAAAUUGUGAUUUCUUAAACUUGCGACUCUUCAACCGUCCAUGACCCCAACCCUGUAUGGUGAAACUGGUUUUCAGUUAUAAGAAAUAUGGGAAUUGAAUUGUGGCAUUAUGAUGUUGAAUUGAACCUUAUGGAACUAUGUUUUUACAAACUAUGGCUUUAAUGAACUAAAGGAGGUCGAGGUAUUCCUCCAAAUUGAUUUUAUGAACUAAAAUGGGGUGUGGCGUUCCCCCAAGUUAAACAUGAUUGUUAUGGCAUAGAGUUAAACUUGCAAGUGAAGGGUAUGGCGAUACCCCUGUAUGACUUAACAGUUGGUUCAUUGAUCAAUAAUUGAAAUUAUGUGCAGCUUGUUUUAAAUUAGCUUAAUGGGAAUUAUAUAGCAAUGUUGAGAAGGUGUGGGUCUUGCAUGACUUGUACUGGGAACUCGUGUUUACCGACAUAAGUUUUGGUCUUGAUGACCUGUGUGCAUGAGUCACACUUGAUAUAUGUUGGGAUGGAUAAUUGCCUAGAUGGCUUAGCUUUCCCUCAGAUUUUAUCUGGAACGUGUGGCUAACACGCACCGGGGCCCUUUCAACAGGGGGAGCUAUACCCAUAUAGCCCGUGAGUGCCUAUUAUGACGGUUGAGCUACAUAGUCCAGGAUAAAGUUUCCCUUCAUGAUUAAACUUGUUCCCUAUACCGGCAUUAUAUAUAUAUAUAAUUGCAUAUGGUUAUGUACAAUGGUUUGACUUGAUUUUGAAUUGAUGGCAUUACUUUAUCUUUAUCUUUAAGUACAUGCUAAUGUUCACCCCACUAACCGUCUCCGAGCGCUGCAUCCCCACGCGAUGUAGGUGCCGGAGCAAUUUUUACUUUCCCUGCGCAGAGUUAGGUGGAUCAGUCCAGUUCGUUAGUCUUUGAUGGUGAAGUGGUGAGCUUCCAUUUCUCCGAAAGACUUAGUCAUUUCAUCCGUUUCUUUCCAUAAUUUAGAAAUGAAGAGUUCACAUUGUCAUUGUCAGAGUCGGGGGCAUGCCCCAACUUUUUAUUGGUACUCAUUUGGUAGAGGCUUUGUUUGGACUACUGUGGACAUGGGUGGUAUGAUUUGGUUUGGUUAGACUAGUAUAAUGUCUUUAAGAUUGAAUUUUCUUAUCUUGUUAUAUGUUCAGAAUUCAUCCGGCAAGGGGUGUACGGUAUAGACGGUGGUUUGGGUAUUUGGGGGUAGUCUCUAGUCCUUAUUGGACUUGAGAUACCCGUCACGGCCAGGCCCUGGUUCGGGUCAUGACCCCUAAGACUUGUCUCAUAUUAAAUCUUAUCCAUAUUUGUUGCCUUGAAUUGGUAGUUUGAUUAGAUUUUGGCAAAACAACUUUCCACCCCACCCCACCCCCAUUUUAGUUCAUGUAUUUCAUUUUGUUUACAUUACGGGUAUCUAUUUAGUAGCUAUUAACAACCAUAGGAUUUGGAGACUAAUUCCACUCCUUGAGGAUUCGACCCAAACUAACAUUAGGUUAAUAACUUGACAAAAAUCGCCUUACCCAUUAAUCAUGAAGUGGGUUGAGAGUUAUCAAUAGGGUUGCUGCCCUUGUGAAAGAACGUCAACUCAAUGGCUCUCUUUUCUCUCAUCCUAAACUUUUGACCUAAUUCUCACAAUGACCAAUCAACCAAUUCUGGCAACUGGCCUACUGGCUCCAAUGGCUUACCAAAACCUACUAACCCUUUUUCAAUUCCCACCUCUCCCUUCCAAGAACAUUCAUGAGCCUUCCACGUACAAUACUAGCGCUAACAAAAUCCAAAAAGAUGAAGCAUCCCCAAAGAAAUAUUUUGGUGCACUUUUUAACAUUGAAUAUGAUAAUGGAGUACCAAUGGUAACGUGAACUCAAGCUGAGGUCAAUCGCAUGAACAUUAUAGAACAUCUCCAAUAUUCUAUUAUUGGAAAAUUCUCUUUCAAUUGGCCUAGCAUUGAAGAUCUAAGGAAAGCAGUUCCUUCACAGUGUAGUAUCAAAGCUGACUGUCGCAUAGAGUAUUGCGAAAUAAACAUAUUCUUAUUAGAUGUGUCCUAGUAGAAGAUUUCGUUAAUGUGAUGUCUAGAACCUCGUAUUAUAUCAAGGACAAGAAUGACCAAGAUUUUCAGAUGUGUUCUUUGAUUUAUGAUGCAAAGUUCAAGGUGAAUAAGGAAACUACGCAAGCUAUGACAUGGAUUUCAUUCCCUAUUCUACUGCUUACCUUUUCUGUUAAAAACACACUUUUUACAAUAGCUUUAGCGUAGGAAAGUCAUUGCAAUUAGAUAUGGCCACCCAAUAAAACCAGACCUAAUUAUGCUAGGGUCAAGGUUUAGGUCGACCUAUUAUCUACGCUCCUUCAUUCGAUGAAAAUGAAAAUCAAAGAUGAUAAAUCAGGAAGUGAGAGCACAGAAACUAUCAAGAUACAAUAUGAUCUGCUCCUUAAAUUUGUACCAAUUGUAAUUUUCAAGGACAUAACACAAGUAUUGUAGAAUGUUACAACCGGAACUAAGACAACAAAUGCAAGGCAACAAUGAUGAAGGCACACAAUCUCUAGUAGAGAGAUCACCUCAGAAACAAAAGAAGUCCAAAACAUUUCUUCCAAGGAGACAGAUAAGCGGCAAAAUAGUUGGUGAUCUACAGGUUUGGAAAGAAAAAGAAAAUAUCAUACAAGACAUAAAACAUAAUAACAUGAAGGCAAUGUACAACAAAUCUGAUGAUGAUUAGAAAAUUGCAACCAAAAUUAAAUUUGAUACAUUGACAGACUUGAAUCGUGAACAGGGAGAAAGAAAAGAUAAUCAAGACAUAGGAGAACUUUCCGAUAAGCAACAUGUGAAGAUGGAUAGCUUUGGUGAUAAUGAUAAUACACAGGAGCUACAAAAUAAAGAUGCAAGAAAAGAAGUUCAAUAAGUAGACAUUCAACGCACCACGGAAGAAAAGUGACUGCAACAGUAGCAACAAUGGAGGAAAAGGUGAGAGGACAAGGGCUUGGGUGGAAGGAGUUUUUGAAAAAUCAUCCCAACAAAGAUCUAGGAAGUGGAGAGAUAGGGUAGAAUAGGAGGAUGGGAUAGAGGAUGAAGAAGUGGGAUCGUAUAAUAGCUUAUGUGAAGGGAAGAAAAUGGGCACAAAAUCUUUUAAUGCUAUUAUAUUAGCACCAGAUAUUGUUACAACUAUUAAAGAUUUGCAAUCAUAUGAGAAUUUGGUUGAAUAUUAUCCACCAAAAAAAGGAGCAUGCAGCCAUAACAAAUGAUGAAGCCAGGGUUCCACUUGAAAGUAAUGAUAUUCAAACGACAAAAUAUCCUAAUAGGAAGUUGUAAGGAAUUGUUACUCAUUCUUCAAGAGAAGAAGAGGUAGAAAAGGAAAAAUUAAAAAAAAGGAGGACGUAGUUCAAAUAAUUCUCCCAAACAAAAAGGAGGCAAAAGAGGUAGUAAAGAAGGAAAUACAGAACUGCAACAGUCUAAUGUGAGACUGGCCAGAAGUGUUGACACUAAAUUUAAUAGCAUGUGAUGAUUAAAGUCAUUUUUUGAAAUAUCAAAUCAGUGAGAACACAUCAAGCUUUUCAUAGGGUACAAAUGCCUUAUAGGCAUCAUAAGUUUACAUUGAUUGCACUAUUGUAGCCUAUUCAAAGACUAACUCAAAUUAACAAAUACAAAAGGAGACAAGGAAUGAAAAAUAAAGGUAGUAAUUGCAAUGUGAAAAUCUAGUACUUUGUAGAAUAUAAUGUGGACGUUGAAGCGGCUAUGGAUACAGGCCAACAAAUUACUUUAAAGCUUUUGUUACGGGAUUCAAAUAAGCAAUGUUAUACCUCUAUUGUAUAUGCUCAAUGCAUUGAGAGGGCAAGGUUAACUUUGUGGGACAAUAUUUAUCAAUUAUCUAAUAACAUGGAGCUACCAUGGUUUGUGGAAGGAGAUUUCAAUAUUAUUUUAAAUGAAAAGGAGAAACUAGGAGGUUUUUCUGUUCUCCCCCAAGAAGGGGAAGAUUUUGCUGUUUUGCAUCAACUCAUGUGAGCGGCAAGAGGUGAAUUACACAGGUAACCCUUUUACAUGGUGGAAUGGUAGAGUAGGGGAAGAUUUCAUUUUUAAAAGACUUGAUAGAGUUGUCAUCAAUAAACUCUGGCAAUGGUUUGAAGGAAUGGAAAUGGAACACUUAUGCAGAACAAGUUUAGAUCAUGCUUCAUUAUUGAUUACUAUGACGAAUAAAGGUAAAAUUUUCCAUAAACCUUUUAAAUUUUUUGAAGUUUUGUGCAGAUAAUGAAGGCUUUAUGGGGGUAGUGAGACAAAACUAGACUGCAGAUAAUGAGGGCAAUUGUUUUUACCAGUUUAAUCAGAAGGUUCAAAAAAGCACUGACUAUUUGGAGAAAGGAAACAUAUGGUGAUAUUUUCAAGUAUAUACUAAUCAGAGAAGAGACAAAAAAGAUUAAGAAGCAGUUGUUUAAUGAUGUUCUUGAUGCUGAGAAUAGGAUGGUUAUGCACCAGGCUCAAGCUGAACUCAAAAAAUACUGGCACUAUGAGGAAGAAUUUUGGAGGCAAAAAGCCAGUAUUACUUGAUACUCAGGAAGGUGACAAAAAUAUUAGUUCAUUUCGCAAUCUAGUUAUGGGCAAGAGAAAGAGGUUGCAAUCAAAAGUAUUCAGAAUGAAGAAGGGCAGUAGUUACAAGAUGAGGGACAUGAAGCUAAUGAGGCUAUCGAUUUUAUCAGAAGCAAUUCACUCAAGAGGAGGAGGCUAAUGAUUUCUCAAUUAUUAAUCAUGUGCCAGAAUUAAUUAGUAGAGAACACAAUGAGUUGAUGUGCAGGAAGCCAGAGUUGGAGGAAGAAAAGAAGGCUGUUUUUAAUCUACAGGGUUUCGUACUAGUCGUCCAGAUGGACUAAUAGGUUUAUUCUAUCAAAAAUAUUGGGAUAUAGUGGGAGGAGAUGUAUUUACGCUAGUUGAAGCUUUUUUUUUUUUGCAGGAAACCUAUUACUCAUACAAAUCUGGUGCUAUUACCAAAAAAGACUACCAUCCAGAUAUUUGCAGAUUUGAUACCUAUAAGCUCGAGUAAUUUUAUUGAUAAAGUUAUUUCUAGAGUGGUACAUGAUAGAUUAGAAGAUGUACUGUCUCUAAUUAUUUCUCCCAAUCAAUCAGAUUUUGUGAAAGAAAAAGCAUAAUAGAGAAUGUACUACUGACACAGGAAAUCAUCACUGACCUAAGGAAGAGAGGAAAGCCAAAUAAUAUUGUAAUAAAGCUGGAUAUGUCCAAAGCUUAUGAUAGAGUUUCUUGGCUGUACCUUUGUAAAGUUUUGAGAAAAUUGGGAUUUGAUGAAAUUUUUAUUGACAUGAUUUGGAGAUUACUAGCUAACAACUGGUAUUCUAUUUUGUUGAACGAGCAAACUCAAGGAUUUUUUCAUUCAACCAAGGGAGUGAGGCAAGGAGAUCCUUUAUCUCUAGUCCUUUUUAUCAUUUUAGCUGAAGUUUUGUCUAGAGCUUUGAAUUCUCUGACGGAGUCAGCGAAUUACCAAGGAUUUGAUAUGCUUAAGUGGAGUACCAAAAUUAAUCACCUAACUUAUGCAGAUGACACAAUUAUUUUCACCUCUGCAGAAACAAGUUUGUUAGGAAUGAUUAAAGAGGUUUUACAUGGGUAUGAGAAGGUGUCCGGUUAGUUAAUAAAUACAGAGAAAUCUUCUUUCUAUAUGUAUUAGAAGAUUCAAGAGGUUUUGCUUUAGGAGGUAGCUGACAUCACUGAUUUAAAAGAGGUGUUUUUCCUUUUAACUAUCUGGGUUGUCCCAUUUUUCAUGCUAGAAAGAAGAAAGUAUAUUAUAAUGAUCUAAUCAAGAAUAUCAAAGAUAGGCUACAAAAUUGGAACAAAAAACUUUUGUCAUUUGAAGGUAAAGCUGUAUUGAUUAACAAUGUGCUUCAGAGUAUGCCAAUUUAUCUGUUGUCUGUAAUGGCACCUACUAAGUACACUUUAAAUGAAAUUCAUAAAAUCUUUUCUAGAUUUUACUGGAUCAACAAGGAAGAAGGGAGAAGUAAGCACUGGUCAACAUGGUUGAAAAUCUACCUUUCUAAACAGGAAGGGGGCAUAGGCUUCAGGUCUUUAUUUGAUGUUUUCAAAUUCUUUUUUGCCAAAUUUUGGUGAAAGUUCAGAACUACAACAAUAAUGUGAAAAAAUUUCAUGUGAAAUAAAAUAUUGUAAAAAGUACUAACAAUGGUGAACUGGAAAGGGGGGUCAUAACUUUCGAAGAAAAUGUUGGAGGUUAGGGAUGAAAUAGAAUCCAAUAUUUGGUGGGAACCUAGAAAUGGUAAUGCAAACUUUUGGUUUGACAACUGGACUAGGUUGGAUCCUCUGAUUCAUCUCAUGCCCUCAAAUCAAAGAGACUUGAGAUUUGAAGAGGUAAAUCAUUUCAUGAAGGAAGUUUUGUGGAAUAAAAAUUUGCUCAGGCAUAACUUACCAUCUUAUCUGGUUGAGCAUAUCAUGACAGAAUUGCCCAAGAAAGGGAAAAAUAUAGCUUGUGAUAAACCAUGGUUUCUAGGCAUAAGCAAUGGAAAUUUUACUGUUAAGUCCUCUUGGGAAAUAUGUAGGCAAAGGGAAGAGACACAGGGGUUUUUUCACAAGAUAUGGACAGUUGGAUUACCUUAUAAAAUCUCUUUUUUCUUAUGGAGGGUGUGGAAGAAGAAACUACUUGUUGAUGAUGUUCUAGCUUCGAUGAUGAUCAAUAUUGUCUCAAGAUAUAGGUGUUAUGAACAACCUCAUCAGGAAAACCUAAUUCACUUUUUCCUGAAUGGAGAUUUUGCUAGAGAUAUUUGGAAUGUUUUACAGGGAUAGCAGGAGCACAAGGUUCGUUCAUACAAGUAAAUCAGGCAAUCACAAUGGUGGAAAAAAGAUUGUGCACCUAACUUGAAAUCGAUAUAUCAAGCUGCACAGCAGUGAUAUUAUGGCAAUUAUGGAAGAGGAGGAGCAAGUUAGUUCAUGGGGGAACAAUGUCAAGGAAUAAAGUGAUUUAUGACAUCAAUCAAAAUUUGUAUCUUCUUCCGAAGAUCAAAUUCCUUAGAUCACAGAUAUUCCUAAUAAUUGGGCUAUUUAAUUCUAAAACUGGAGACAUAUAUGCAACAAAUACAAUGCAAGUUUAUAAACUAGCAGUUGUCCUUAAAGGGUACUUUUAAAUAUAACACUGAUGCUUCAUCUAAAGAUAACCCUGGACCUAGUUCAAUAGCAUUUUGCAUUAGAGAUUGGAGUGGCGACCUCAAUUAUGCAAGGAUAACAAGAAUAUCCAACACUACUAGCCUCCAAGCAGAAGCUAUGGCUAUUCUAGAUGCUAUUGAGUAUUAUGUGACACACCAUAUGAUGCCUCUGAUUAUUGAAACAGACUCCCUGAUAAUGAAAAAAGUGAUAGAAGGGGAAUGAGGUAGUCCUUGGUCUAUCAGUAUGAUUGCACAAAUAAUUAUGGAGUGGAAGAAAAAGGGCGAAGUGUGUGUCUCACAUGUACUAAGGGAAGGAAAUCAACUAGCCGACUAUUUAACUAACAAGUUUGAUGAUUUUGCAAGUACUAUUCACUUUCAUAAUGAAGAAGAUCUACCAAUAGAAACAAGAAGAAUUAUCCAUGCAGACAAAAUUCAGAUGCCUAAUUUGUGUUUGCAAGAAAGAGAACCAGACUAGACCAUUUCACAAUCAAAGUAAAAAGGCAACAGUAGAGCAAACAACAUACAUCUAGAAAUAAAGUUCACAAUUUCAAUGGUAAAAACAUCAAGCCAAUUGAUACAGUUUACAACGAUUCAAGAUGUCAUAAGUUUAUCGCAAAUUCAACACAUCCAAAAAUAUAAAGGUAUAAUUGAGUAGAUUUUCUAGCGGUGGCAUCAAUCUUCUUGAAGGUUCAACCCACUGAAGGAAAAGUUGAUUUUACCAAAAGAUUUUCUAAUUUGUGUUUCUAUAGUUCUAUUCCUAGAAAAUCUUGAUUACGGAUCUUACCUGAGGGCGUAAUAGCUCAUGCUAUCCUCGAACAAGUUGAAGAAGUCUUCAUUUGGGACAGAUCUCACAGCAUCUGGUGAGAGCAUUGGGGUGUCUUGAGUGGAAUCUACCAAAACUUGUCAACAGUCUAUAACUGAGUUUAGUAGCUCAAAAGAAUCUAAAUGGUCAGAGGUUAAUGUAGAUAGACUCACAUUAGUGCACUUCAUCACCUUUAUUUUGAUGUCUGAUGUCUCAAGUGACAGAUGUUAAUUUCGUUGAUGGUGAAAGAGAGUCUCGGGGUUUUGGACUUAAAAGUUUUAAAAUGGGAGUACUUGAGUGGAG